CAAAUUAGUUUUCCUUUGUUUGGUUGCAUACAAGAAAAAAAAAAAAAAAUAAGAGUGGAAAUGUAAAGAUGAAUGAGAGGAAAGUAAAAAAAAAAGAGGUAAGGAGGAGAGAGGAAAAUGUUGUUUUGGGAAGGAAAAUAUUUUCCGUCAUUAAGAAUGGAAUUUUCCACCCUUGAAAAAAUUGUAUUUCCACCCCUUAACAAACCAAACAAAGGAAUUAGAAAAAAUGGAAAAUUCAUUUUGCAUGAAAACCUUUUACAUCAAACCAAAUAAGGCCUAAUUUACGCGGUAAAACUUAUAUCCUUACAUCGUGUUAUACUUCCCGAAUCUAAUACGGAGUAAAUGUCUCACGUCUCAUAAUUUAAUACGGUAUUAGUACAAAUGAACGUAUCUUCCUCCUGCUCUCCUCUCUCACUUUCAGAGUUCUCCAUUGAAUCGCACUUGACGUUCUCCAUUGAUGCGCCUUCUAAUUCUUGUAUCCUCCAUUGAAGCAGUUUCUGAGAACCCUUAAAUGUUAAGAUUGAGUUAUGAAUUUGGACCUCUUCUCUCUCCUGCCCUGGCUUAGGGACGAGCCUGGGUAAAACAGAUCAAAUUAUUUUCUAGGUAUGAUUUUUUUUUUUUGGGUAAUUUUUGAGUAAGAUUUGUGUUGAUUUAUUAUUUUUUAUCCCAAUUUAAGUUUAAUUUUACUUGUGAAAUCUUGAAAAAUCACAAGAAUAUAAUUAUAUAGAACCAAUGAAUGUGAGAAAGUGUUAAAAUUAGUGCAAUCUAACAAUAAUUAGAGGAUUACAAUUUUUCAAAAAUAUAAGACAUUUGAUAUUCUCAGGGCUCGAUUCCUUUUGAUUUCCUUCCUCGUUAUUCAUUAAAACCAGUGUCAAAACUCAAAAUAGAUGAAUGUAAAGCAUAUAUAGAAUGUGACAAAUUUGGAAACAUGAAAAGUAAUUUUUGUUAGGAAAAGGAAUGUUUUCUUCACAUUCUAAUUGUGACAAUUAUUUUUCCUAACUUGGCCUUUUACUGUUAUAUUUCUCAAGAAACGUUGACAAAUAUUACUACUUUCUUGUAAUAAAUGAACCCAUCUUAUUAAUCAUGCCCAUAUUGUUUUUUUAUCAUUCAUUGAGACUAAGCUACAUUAAAGAUCUAGGUCUUGAAUUUUUUCUUACUUUCAAAACAGUAGACUUAGGUAAAAAUUAUUUUAUCUUCUCAUGCAGCAUAGAAACAGCUUGAACAUUGAAUUGAAAAGAAGGAUCUCUUGUUCAGGCCGGUUAUGAAUGGAGAUUUUUGUGUAGGUUGCUUAGAUUUAACCUCUCAAAUAGUUAAAAGUGCUUAGAGGGAGGCGAUGUACAUCUAGAGCUCCUUGAAUCCUAUCUUAACAGGAAUUACACAGCAUUGCUCAUAUAAGAUCAGGAUCUUAGUAUUUAUUUGAUAUUAUAGGAUCAUGACUAGUUAGAACCAUUUGCUGGUAUGUGUGAUAUUCACAUGUCUUUGAAGUUCAGGUGAUUUUUAUUUUAUUUAUCUAAUUAUCUAUUUUUAUUUUUGAGGGAAAGUUGUGGUGAUUAAGUUAAAAGAAAUUCAAAUAUUACUAUACUAGUGUCGAGCAAUUCGACGUCAUCGUGUGAGAUGUUUGGUACUCAUUUUUGCUAGUGUGUGUAGUAUUCACGAGUCUAUUAAGUUGGGGGUUAUUGUUUCCUUUGGUAAUUACGAUCAAAAUAAAUUAUUUAAUAAUGAAUUUGAUUUCGUCCAAGACUCAGUCUUUAAUUACAUAUCUCUUCCUUAGGAUAGCAUGUCCUUUGACUUCACUUUAAGAUGCAUUAUUGUCAUAAUUGUGUCCAAUACAUUUUCUCAAACUGUUACUUGUGACGUGGCACCUUUAUUUUUAUUUCCUUAUUAUCUAUUUCUCUCACAUAUUUUGAUUUGGUGAAUGGGGAUUAUUAGGGGACUAUUAAGUACCUCCUCUCUUGUAAAAAAAAAAGUACCUUCUCUGAUUUUUUUUUUACUCGACUUACUUUGACUCUUACAUUGUUCAUACACGCUCAUUUGACCGUCUUUCAUGAAUUAUAUGCUAGGAAAAGCAUAUUAUGUUAUUAAAAUCGUCUAAAAAAAAUUACUAUCACAAUUUCUGUUUUUUACUUAUUGAUAAAUAAAAUUAUUGAAGGAUAAAUUUAUGCAUUGGUAAACAUGAUAAAUGAAAUAGUUCAAGUAAAAAAGAACGAAGGAAGGAGGAAGUAUCAAUAUAAUCUUUUCUUGUAAGUUAAUAUAUGAUUUUCGGUGUUAUAUAUCGCAUGUAUAUCAUUUUUGAUCCGCUAACAUGUAGAAGGAUAAGUUUGAUAUCAAUCUUUAGCUAAGAAAUGGAAUCUGAAAUUCUAAGAGGGCUCAAAAUGGGCCGCAUGGCCGCAUGGCUACAAAGUAUGAUAAUUUGGCAUACAUCUUAGCAAAGUAAUGGGCCGCUACAUGUAUUGAUUUUAUGAUAAUUUGGCAUACAUCUUAGCAUACUAAUGGGCCGCAUGGCUACAUGUAUUAAUUUAUUUUAAGAUAAUUUGGCAUACAUCUUAGCAAACUAAUGGGCCACAUGGCCGCAUGGCUACAUGUAUUAAUUUUAAGAUAAUUUGGCAUAAAUCUUAGCGAACUAAAGUUUAAUUGACACAACAUCACCGGUAGGAAAAUUGGUAUGCCUAAACAUUUAGCUAGAGUAUAUGGCUGAAAUUCAUGUCCAAAGUUUUAGGGUGAGAUCAAGUUCUGGUGUUUUUUUUUUGCUUGUUCUCAAAGGACAUAGUGAGCCAAGUUGGCUCAACACACUGUUUCUUUGCAAGGCCUUCAUCAUUCUGCCUUGCUUGCAAAAUAGUUGUGAUGUUUGGAGCAGCAGAAGGAUCAAAGGUUGUGGUCACUCUGGGGCUUAAUAUGGGAUUUGGAGCAUUGACACAAGGGCUUGGCCACCCCGGUUUGUAUGCAGGAUCAACGGCCUGCAUCAUAGAGGAUGGCCUCAUGAACCCAUCUAGGGAUUGAGAAAAAUCGGAUGGAGCCUGGUUAAGAUCCAUUUUAGGGUUACAGUUAACUGGCCUUGGCUGCCAUCCACUGUGGCCAUUUCCAUGGUAAGGAGGAUGCGGGAAUUGUUUUCCAUAGUCGGGAUCCUGAAGCAGAGGUACCCUUGCACGAUAAGAGAUUGGAUUUUCGGCAUUUCCCUGUGCUUCUUUCAUUGCUUGCUCCGUCUUCCUCUCUUGCUUGUGUACUGUUGAGUGGGCGCGAAGCGCCUCUGUAGUCGGGAGUCUCAGGUAACAGAUUUUGCAGACUAUGGGAUAUUGACUUGGAGGUGCAGAGGCAGGCAAAACAUAACCAGAGAGGUGUUUGGAUGAUUCUCCUUUUUCACCCUUGUUGGGCUUUUUCUGUGGUAUCUCUGGUUUGGCAUCACCUUCUGGGGAUAAAUAUUGCUUAAUCAUGGCUUUCACCUGACGAUGAAUUUCAAAUUUUAUGGCCGGGGAAAGGGUUGGUAUUUCAGAGGAGUUCAGGUCUGGCUUAAAGCCAUUUCUCUCGAAUGCCUCAUAAGCAAUUGUCUUCCCCUUGUCCAAUGUGCGUUUCUUCGGGGGUUGUACUGCUGACCUCGAGAAUUUGGCUCGGAAGGAGGCUUGACCAUUGUUUGCUUCCAUGAUGGCUUUCAAAAUUUUUACUCUGAACUCUCUCUGGUGGAUUGUAUUGUGUUGUGACUUGUGAGGAAGAGGGGGUCAAAAUCAAGUAUUUAUUGACAAGAAAAAAUUAUUGCCCUACACCCAUAUAUGGUAUGUAUCCUGAUGAAUUUGUAAAGGUGUGAAAUCAAUUAAAUACAAAAUCAUGAUUUUAUCUA